UUAGAGGCGUUUUUUAACGCCACAAAUCAAUCCUAUUCAUUUGCUA
rfam:Spinacia oleracea cultivar SynViroflay C24768092.1, whole genome shotgun sequence.